rnacentral:rRNA from 1 species
GGUGAACGCUAGUGAUAUGCUUUAACACAUGCGGAGUGUGAAAACGCCAAUAAUGGCGUAUGCGUACAGGUGAGGAAGCUGUGGGAACUACCCUGGAAGCCCGGUACAAUUUGAUAAAUUCCGGAUAAAGAAAGCUUUUUGUAGUAAAGCGUUUCUUUGGGAGGCUCAUAGAGGAUUAGGUUUGUUGGUAGGGUAAUGGCCUACCAAGCCGAUGAUCCUUGGCCGGUCUGAGAGGAUGGUCGGUCACACCGGGAUUGCAAUAAGGCCCGGACUUUCAUAAAGGCUGCAGUUGGGGAAUAUUGGACAAUGGGCUGAAGCUUGAUCCAGCAAUAUCGCGUGAGUGAAGAAGGUCAAUUGUCUGUUAAAGCUCUAUUAACUGUAAAAAAUUAUGCUGAUUUACAGAGACCAAGUUCCUGGCUAACUUCGUGCCAGCAGCCGCCGUAACAC